rnacentral:rRNA from 1 species
UACGUAGGGUCCGAGCGUUGUCCGGAAUUAUUGGGCGUAAAGGGCUCGUAGGCGGUUGGUCACGUCGGGAGUGAAAACUCAGGGCUCAACCCUGAGCGUGCUUCCGAUACGGGCCGACUAGAGGUAUGCAGGGGAGAACGGAAUUCCUGGUGUAGCGGUGGAAUGCGCAGAUAUCAGGAGGAACACCGGUGGCGAAGGCGGUUCUCUGGGCAUUACCUGACGCUGGAGGAGCGAAAGCAUGGGGAGCGAACAGG